UCUGGAACUAGAUUAUAGCUCGCAUCAGGGACGUCCUAGGAGACGCGACGCAGCUGUCCAUGGAAAACCUGCUCCUCCACCACACACGAGACCCGAUCUCGAAAUACAAAAGCUCUAUCCUACGCCACCUCCUUGACGUAGCCAAGGUAUUAAUCCCUACUCUCUGGAAACAAACACAAACCCCCACGAUGGAACAAUGGCUAACCAGAG